AGUGAACGCUGGCGGUAGGCCUAACACAUGCGAGUCGAACGGCAGCACAGUAAGAGCUUGCUCUUACGGGUGGCGAGUGGCGGACGGGUGAGGAAUACAUCGGAAUCUACUUUUUCGUGGGGGAUAACGUAGGGAAACUUACGCUAAUACCGCAUACGACCUACGGGUGAAAGCAGGGGAUCUUCGGACCUUCCGGCAUUUAUGCGGCCGUGGUGGGUUUAGCCGGUGGGCGGGGUAAAGGCCCACCAGGACGCGGAUCCGUAGCGGGCCUGAGAGGAUGACCAGCCACACGGGAACUGAGACACGGUCCAGACUCCUACGGGAGGCGGCAGUGGGGAAUUUUGGACAAGGGGCGCAAGCCGGAUCCGGCCAUACCGGGGGGGUGAGGAAGGCCUUGGGGUGUUAAACCCUUUUUGUUGAGAAAGAAAAGCAGCAGGUUAAAACCCCGCUGUUCUGACGGUACCCAAAGAAAAAGCACCGGCUAACUUCGUG
rnacentral:rRNA from 1 species